rnacentral:rRNA from 1 species
CGUAGGGUGCGAGCGUUAAUCGGAAUUACUGGGCGUAAAGCGUGCGCAGGCGGUUCGCUGUGUCCUGUGUGAAAGCCCCGGGCUCAACCUGGGAAUGGCAUGGGAAACUGGCGGGCUGGAGUGUGGCAGAGGGGGGUGGAAUUCCGCGUGUAGCAGUGAAAUGCGUAGAGAUGCGGAGGAACACCGAUGGCGAAGGCAGCCCCCUGGGCCAACACUGACGCUCAGGCACGAAAGCGUGGGGAGCAAACAGGAUUAGAUACCCUGGUAGUCCACGCCCUAAACGAUGUCGACUAGGUGUUGGGGGAAGCGAUUCCUUGGUACCGUAGCUAACGCGUGAAGUCGACCGCCUGGGGAGUACGGCCGCAAGGUUA